rnacentral:lncRNA from 1 species
UUUUAAACAUGUGGCAAGUGGUACGACACUGUAUUGAUGUAUGUAAAAUGUAUAGAGUCUUUCAGUUAUCAGAUAAUGUCAAGGAGUUGACAGCAUGGUGUCUGAUUCAAAGUGCGAACCUGUGUACGAGUAACAACAGUAUUCAAAACCAAAACCUAUUUAAACCAACCAAACCAAAACUAGCGACAAAAAACUAUCUUGGCAUUGGUUUAUUUUA